UGGGGAAUUUUGCACAAUGGGGGAAACCCUGAUGCAGCGACGCCGCGUGAUUUAGAAGGCCUUCGGGUUGUAAAAAUCUUUUCUAUGGGAAGAAAAUGACAGUACCAUAGGAAUAAGGACCGGCUAAUUACGUGCCAGCAGCCGCGGUAAUACGUAAGGUCCGAGCGUUGUCCGGAUUUAUUGGGCGUAAAGCGAGCGCAGGCGGUUAGAAAAGUCUGAAGUGAAAGGCAGUGGCUCAACCAUUGUAGGCUUUGGAAACUGUUUAACUUGAGUGCAGAAGGGGAGAGUGGAAUUCCAUGUGUAGCGGUGAAAUGCGUAGAUAUAUGGAGGAACACCGGUGGCGAAAGCGGCUCUCUGGUCUGUAACUGACGCUGAGGCUCGAAAGCGUGGGGAGCGAACAGG
rnacentral:rRNA from 1 species